rnacentral:rRNA from 1 species
UACGUAGGCAGCGAGCGUUGUUCGGAAUUACUGGGCGUAAAGAGUGUGUAGGCGGUGCUCUAAGUUCGGUGUGAAAUCUCCUGGCUCAACUGGGAGGGUGCGCCGGAAACUGGAGUGCUUGAGCGUGGGAGAGGAAAGCGGAAUUCCUGGUGUAGCGGUGAAAUGCGUAGAUAUCGGGAGGAACACCUGUGGCGAAAGCGGCUCACUGGACCACAACUGACGCUGAGGCGCGAAAGCUAGGGGAGCAAACAGGG